rnacentral:lncRNA from 1 species
ACAAUGGUUGUUUACAAGUUAGUUCCUUAAACUAUAAUUAUUCAAAUGCUGUAGUGAAGUUGAAAAGAAAAGUUUCAGAAAGGUCCUGUAAUAGGGCUACUAGGCUUGGAUGAAGGCGGAAAAUUUGAAAUAUCACUGAAAAUGGAGAUCAAUUAGAUAAGGACAGAAAUUUCAACUGGUCAACUAGGGUGCCCCUAAAAAAAUUAACGCAAUCGUUCUUUAGCAAAAUAAUGGCGUAACCAG